rnacentral:lncRNA from 1 species
GAGUAAAGAAUAUCUAUUUUUAGGUAAUACAACUAAAAAAUAGACUAGGGAAAUUUAGAAUAUUGAUUUUAGGGCUUGUUCAGGAAAAGGCCACUCAAUAUUGUUGGGAAUAAAUCCCGCCGCCAUACAAAUAUUGUGGUUAUAAAAAGCAAUAGUUAUGACAACAGUAAUACGUGUAAUCAACAAGAACAACAAGAGCAAUAAUGACACCAAGAUUUUUACGUGGACCCAAUGAGGGAAAAACCACUGGCCAAGAGGAGCAACUGAUAUUUCUGUAGUAAGGAAUUUUACACCAUAGUCACAAUUACAAUACUCAAAGUAACUACAACACACUCAAAAGAAAUCUCUCUUUUGAUUUUUCCACCUCACUACAAUAGCGCUCACAAUCUUUAUUUUUCCUAAACUCUCUUUGAUGCCUCACUCUAUUUUUCUUUCACUUUUU